GGCUUAGUAGCUCAGUUGGUUAGAGCGCUUCCAUCACAUGAGAGUGACACUGGUUCGAAUCCUGCUUAAGCUG